UGGCAAUCAGAAACCAGCUUUUUAGACCUUUUUCCAUGUCCAUAUCAGUUUGGAAAUGAUUGCAAAAGAAAAACGUGUUUUAUGUGCCAAAUAAGCAACUAAUAUGUGAGCUGCCCUCAUUUGCACAUUAGUUCGACAGU
rnacentral:snoRNA from 1 species